UAGUGUGGAUGACGUGUCUUAGUACCUCUGUUUUCCCAAUGCGGUGAGUGCACACAUCAGGGUUGCUCAGUAGUAAGUCACACAACUGUUGUUUCCCAUCCUCUGGUAUUUGAGCGGCUGACACUGCUCGCUCAAUGUAGUCCUGUACGCUUAAGCGUUGUGGUUGCAAGGACAGCAGAGGGGGCGGAAUGGAACUGAUGAGCGACACGUGGUGUGUGUGUAGUGCCCGGUACUGUGGGGACAAUGUAGAGAUUAGCGCACUUCCGGGUUGGAAGAAGAAGACAGCGGAUGGAUUGGCUUUGAACGUGAAAGAGUUGUCUGAGACAUUCAACUGUAUUUGGCUAUGGUAUAUGAAGUCUAGUCCCAGGACAAUUCCGUAUGCCAGUGCCACAGAUGGAAGGACAGCUACUGACAGGUCAGUCACGUUUCCAUGAACACCAAGAUCUAGAUCCAUCCAGCCAAGUGGUGUUACAAGCUCUCCAUUUGCUAGGUACAAAGAACCCUGUGUCCAUGGGUUAAGUGCUUUGGACUUCAUCACAUCGGACCACAGGUAUUCAUGUAGUAGGGUGCAGCUUGCACCAGUGUCUAGGAUAGCCUUCCCAUACCAGGAACCUAUGUUCACAGGCACGACCAGCUGUUGAGGAGCAAGGGGACCUGGCAAAUCCAUGGCGGGAGCAGUCGUGGAAGGAGAGGAGCUGGUGUUCGUGGUCCUUUUCCAAUUGGUGACCAAGACGGACAAGCUCAUCGACAUCUUUCACACGUCCUCGAAGUUGACUGGCAAGCUCAUCUUGGUAAUCUUCGGCCAGAAAUGCGGAUAGGAAAGAAGUCUUGAACUCCUCCCACGUACCAACUUGAGUACGGGUGAUUUCCCACCAGUCCCUGGCGGUACCAUGGAGAACUGUCCGGAAUGUGGCCAGAAUGUCAGCGUCUGUCAGAGGAUGCAGUGCAAUAAAGUCCUGACAUUUUGACAAAUAAAGC